rnacentral:lncRNA from 1 species
UGUUUCCUUUUCUUUAGCAAAGUCCUGGAGGUUUGUUCAUCCAGCAGUCUUCACCUCUGCUGUGCCUUGACCCUGUGCCUGGUGUUAGGAGCUGAGGACAGGAAAAGAGCAGGACCCUCCCAGAACUCAUGUUUGGUGUCUGGCUGAGAGCCAGAACAUGCCACUACUUUGUUAUACUGCUCUCCUACACAGAUUUCUAUAUUCCAUCAUUCUUCUCAAAUGAAACUUGGACCUGCUUCUUUCCUUUUGAAUGCUGAAGGCUCCGUCUCCAAGUUCCCUUGCUGGAAGGCAUAUUAUGAAACGGGAUGUACCAUCAGAGACGAAGAGUUCGUCUAAUCCACGCAGAGAACAGUGGUGGAGGAGCGCCCACUCACUAUCUGGCAUCUGAUAGUCGUAAAAGGUGAGGACAUGGCAGGCACUGUGCUGGAUGCUGAGAACAAAGUGGUGAGCAAGAUGGAUUUGGAUCUUGCCCUCAUGGAACUUUAUUUUGGAUGAAGUCUGACAAAAAAAAACCCAAGUAACUACAAAAACCAAAUGAUUACAGAGUGAGGUAAGUCCUCUGAACUAUAGAAGCAGGCUAGGCUAUGAACCUCUAACAGGGAGACCUACGCUAGCAGGGAAGAAAUUCUGAGGAAGCAACAUUUCAGCUGAAACCAAAAAGACAAGUAUGUUUGUGGAUGUGAAAACUGAGACAGAGAAGGAUAUUUCAGGGAGAAGGAACAAUGCACAGAUCAGGAAGGAGUAUGAGAUAGCCCAAGAAUUGAACCAGACCAGUGUAGAUGGGAUACAGAAAUGAGAUGGGGAGGAGAUGCAGCUGGAGAAGCAGAUAGGGGACAGGCUUUACCAAGCUUUGAAGGGUAGGUUAAGAAUUUUGGUCUUCAUCCUAAGAAAUACUGGAAGACAGGUGUUCAAUGUGGAAGAGUGACUGUCAGCAAGAUCAUGCUUCCUUGUCGUUGAAUAGACAGUUGACACAGACAAGAAUAUGUAUGGUUGACAAUAUGGGGCUGUUUCAGUAACGAGUGAGAGAUGAUGGUGACCUGUCUAGGGACAUGCCAAAGAAGAUGAGAAGAAGUAGAUGGAUCAAAGAGAUAUUCAAAUGAAGUACCUGAACCUAAUCUCAUUCUGCUUUUGCUAGCCAGUACACUGAAUUAUUUUGACCUUGGCGUACUCUCAAAUAACAUUCAAUAUCAACUCUUGUGAGUGGCUCC